GGAUCAAUGAGCAGCUCAUGAGAACAAUUGAAGACGUAGAUCUGUUCGAAGUCUCUUCGUCUCCAUUCACAAGGAAGAGGAUGAUGAUGCUGGAAGAUGUAGAUCUGGAAGAGGAUGCUGGAAGAGGGAGUUGAAGAACACUUUCGAUGGGUAAUUCCUUCAUUUUAUAUAUAUGUGAGUAAAUUUGUGGGGCUGAAUCUAGAUUGGGUAAUUCCACCACCCGUGACCACAGCUACAGCCCCGUCGGUCUUGUCCCCGUUAAUCAAUU
rnacentral:lncRNA from 1 species